UUAUACUUAAUUGUGAAUAUGUUGUCGUCAAGAAUAGAAAACUAUAGUCAAUGUCUUGUAAUUAUUUUGUUAAUUACAAGCGUGGUUAGUCAACAAUCAUGUAUCCCGCCAUUUCAAUGCUUAAGUUCUAACACCUAUCAAAUGUUGGGAUCUGUUUUUACUUGCCAAGCGGGAAUGGUUUGUAAUGCAGACUAUGAUAACACAUGCGCACCUUGUGUUGUGCCAAGUGCAGCUAUGUGUAAAUUCACUUGUGAUCCACAAAAUCCUGCAACAGGAAUAAUUACGGUUGUUCCAACAAAAGUUCAGGUACCAUUUACGUGCCCUACUGGUCAAAUUUGUAACAGUUUGUAUGCAACUUGUGAAUCGUGCAUAUGUCCAAAACUCUGGACAUGUGAUGCAAAUAAUCCAAACGUAGUCACUAUUUUUGGUUUUACAUUUUCAUGUGGCACCGGAAAAGUAUGCAAUAAAGAUUUUGUUGCUCCGUGCGAAGCUUGUAUUACUGAUGGGUCAGCAAUAAUUCAACCACCAGCACAAUAUCCACCUAAUUGUAAUGAUGGAUAUGGUGCUACCAAUCGAUGUCGUCCUGGCCCGCGAGGUGCAGGAUAUUAUUACAAAUGCAGACGUGUCGGAAUGGUGUUCGAUUUUGAUGUUAAAUUAUGCACUGGACUUGCCAGUGAUUCAUGCCGAAGUGUUGCUAAUAUUUGUGUUUAAAAGAUGUAAUAAAUUCUGAUGCAAAGUUUGUUAACGUUCACGUAUAAUUCCAACUCUAACUCAUUGUUUGUUUAUCCAGUUUUUGCAUAAUCCGCACUAUAAAUUUAAUCUUUGAUAAGAUAUAUAGUUAUAUAAUGUUGUUUGGUAAUAAAUAAGCAUGUUUUAUGAGUGUAUUAUUACAGUAUUAAAAUAUUUAAAAAAUUAAUUGUUAUAUAAUGGUAUAUUUCCUGGCACUAUCCAGUAGUUUGUUUUAAAUUGUCCUUUAACAAGUUAAAACAAUGCUAUUUUACGUUGUGACAAUAUCCUGCGUGCUUGCAUUGGCGUCGGCUGGCAAAGACGACUGUAAACCAACCUGGACUUGUCACGAUGCUGAACAUUAUGAAAUUCUAGGACUCAAUAGCACAUGUAAUCCUGGAACAGUAUGCAACCAAGAUUACACAGAUGAAUGCAACCCUUGUGUAGAAUUGAAUGCCGAUACUUGCCAGUUCACUUGUGAUCCUGCCAAUAUGGGCCAGGCCACCGUAACAAUUAGCAACAAUGAUGUUACCGUAAAUUGCAACGAGGGACAAAAGUGUAAUAUAUUAUAUUUGAACGAUUGCUCUCCUUGCAUUGCAGAAACCUGCGAUCCAGUAUGGAAAUGCAAUCCUGACAAGGAAACUGAAGUAUCUGUCAGUGGAGUAACAAUUAACUGUCGCGAUCGUAAAGUAUGCAACAAGGACUACAAAUAUCCUUGUGAUAUGUGCGUUGAUAAAUUCCCUGGUAUAACUUAUCCACCAAAUUGCAAUGAUGGACAUGGUCAUUCCAAUCCAUGCAGACCUGGACCAAUUGGCAGCCGAAAAUAUUAUACCUGCAAGAAAGUCGGCAAAUUCUACUUUGAUUACGAAGAGAAAAAAUGUCUGUGGCAAUUCCUGGACGGCACCUGCAAGAAAAACAAAGAAAUUUGUACUUAGAAAAAUGUAUACACUGCAAUAAUCAGAAUAUAAACGUAAUCCGUUAAUAAAUGCAUUAAAAAUGUAAUAAA